CCCUUAGAUGUUCUGGGCUGCACGAGUGCUACACUGAUUAUUUCAACAAGUGUUUUAACUGGAGAGUUUGCGUAAUCCUGAAAUGUUAUCGUGAUGGGAGUAGAGUAUUGUAUUUGUUAAUCUUUAACGAGGAAUUCCUAGUAAGUGUAGGUUUAUAAGUUGUUCUGAUUACGUCCCUGCCCUUUGUACACACCGCCCGUCGCUCCUACCGAUUGAUUGAUCCGGUGAAUUACAUAGAAUUUUGCGUUUUACAUGACGGAAGACGAAGUGUUUUAAACCUUAUCAUUUAGAGGAAGGAGAAGUCGUAACA
rnacentral:rRNA from 1 species